GCAAUCAUCUGAUUUUUCUCCUUAGACCUAUUAGUAAGAAUCCUACCCAGAUUCUUGCACCUCUGGCAUUAAAAAACCAGGCCAUGCUUCGCUGAAAUACACGUGACAUAUCGCUUCUUCUCUUCUAAAAGGAGAGGAUAAAAUGGACACAUUUGAACAGUUCAUCUUUCAUAUUCUUUUUAUAUGUUGGUGUGUGACACAGUUCAUACUGAGUUGACAAAGGAUUAAAGCAAUCAUUUGCUUUGUUGUGUGAAGAAAAGAAGAAGGGAGAGAUGUUGAUCAUCUUUCAAAGGUGGAAAAUAUCUUAAGGAUCAUCUAAUUUAAACUUCUCCUCUUACAGAUUGAAAAAAGCACAGAGGCCUCUCAGGGCUUGCCCGAUAUCGCGUUCGUAGGUCACCAUAAAUAAAAACCAGGUGUUUUGACUCUAAA